rnacentral:rRNA from 1 species
GACGAACGCUGGCGGCGUGCUUAACACAUGCAAGUCGAACGGAAAGGCCCUGCUUUUGUGGGGUGCUCGAGUGGCGAACGGGUGAGUAACACGUGAGUAACCUGCCCUUUACUUUGGGAUAACUUCAGGAAACUGGGGCUAAUACCGGAUAGGAGCUCCUGCUGCAUGGUGGGGGUUGGAAAGUUUCGUCGGUUGGGGAUGGACUCGCGGCUUAUCAGCUUGUUGGUGGGGUAGUGGCUUACCAAGGCUUUGACGGGUAGCCGGCCUGAGAGGGUGACCGGCCACAUUGGGACUGAGAUACGGCCCAGACUCCUACGGGAGGCAGCAGUGGGGAAUAUUGCACAAUGGGCGGAAGCCUGAUACAGCAACGCCGCGUGCGGGAUGACGGCCUUCGGGUUGUAAACCGCUUUCGCCUGUGACGAAGCGUGAGUGACGGUAAUGGGUAAAGAAGCACCGGCUAACUACGUG